CUGCUGCCUCCCGUAGGAGUUUGGGCCGUGUCUCAGUCCCAAUGUGGCCGUCCACCCUCUCAGGCCGGCUACUGAUCGCUGCCUUGGUGGGCCGUUACCCCGCCAACUAGCUAAUCAGACGCGGAUCCAUCGUAUACCACCGGAGUUUUUCACACUGCCCCAUGCGGAGCCGUGCGCUUAUGCGGUAUUAGCACCUAUUUCUAAGUGUUAUCCCCCGGUAUACGGCAGGUUAUACACGCGUUACUCACCCGUCCGCCAA
rnacentral:rRNA from 1 species